AAGUCAUAGGGAAAAUGCAAGGACGAUCUUCAUCAUAAUUACUUGUCAUUAUUUCCUUCAGCAAAAAACAAGAAAUGUCUUCAUUACACAUCAGUUUGUCAUCUCCCAUCUUUCCUUCUAUUUUUGAUUUAGUUUCUCCUCAGCUCUUCAACACCUUCAAGCAUUCAUGGAUUCCAUCCAUCACCUAUCUGCAUCCACCUCUUUCACAAUGAAAGAAGGAACUUCAUUCAUCAGAUAAGUUGUUUCUCUCCUUUUUAGUUCCUUUGUAGCUAGAAUGUGAACAGCCUUGUCUGAUUCUCUAUAGGUAAAUCGAAAAACACAAGACCUAAAACUUGAACAUAAUUGUUUUGAAUCAUUGAUAAAAACUUCAAUCUCAGAUCUGUCUGCUACCUCGGCUUACAGUUUACGAAUCACUGUAUGGGCAUCUCCUUCUAUUUCAAGCGCCCUUAGUCCCAAAUUUAAACCUAGAUGGAUCGCCUGGAGUCACACCUUCGUUUUUGCCGCAAAAAUAGACACGUCAAAGUUGAUUUUAACUGUUAAACUAGUUGGAGUUGAUUUUAAGUGUUAAACUAGUUGGAGCUAUCCAUCUAUCUGUGACUAGCCUACUCCCUGGGCAUUCCCGAAACAAAUGCUCCCUAUUCUUUGUUCCAUAUUGGCAUCUUUGGCAAGUAACAGAUCCCAACAUUCGCCUGUAAUGUUGGUUAAUAAAAGUAGGCAGAUAAUUAAAGAAGAUUCUCCUAUUUGUAAUUUUAAUCUUAGGAGGUAGAUCUAGGUUCCACAAUUUUUUGUAAAAUAUUCUGUAGCUUUGUUGUCUUUGGGUCUGUCCAUCUUGUAAGAAAAAUUUAUGCCGAUUAGGUACCGAAUACUCCCCUGUCCGCUCACAACGCCAUAUUAUAUUUUCUUUAUACGGAUUCAUAGAUAGAGGAGUGCAUAAAAUUCUCGCAGCUUCCUCCUACAAAAAGGUAUUUCGAAUCAGCCCAGCUUUCCAUUUUCUUGUGUUGACAUCAAUCAAGUUUGCAACUUUAUUUAGGCCCAAAA